rnacentral:misc_RNA from 1 species
AGUGACCUUUCUCUUUUAUAUAUAUAGAUUACGAUGCAUUAUUUGGACACCUUCUCACCAUCUAUAGAGCAUACAUUUUAAAUUUCAAGUCUCUUACUUCAAAAACAUAGGACUUUUAUACAAACUUCCAACCCCCGUUUUACCCCCUUAGGGGUCGAGUUUUGUAAAACCCGUUCUUAGCGAAUGUCUACGCUCUCUAAGGAGCCUAUCUGCCAAAUUUCAAGUUUGUAGGUGUUAUAGUUUCGGAGAUUUCGUGAUGAGUGAGUGACCUUUCGCUUUUAUAUAUAUUAUAGAUUAA